rnacentral:lncRNA from 1 species
GUCCAACCAGAAGCGAUGGGCCGUUCGUUUUCCACAGAAAAAAGUACUCAUUGGAUGCUGUAACUUCGAGGACAGCUUUUCAGAAAGGUGAGUCGUUAGAGGUUUGAAACAAACUUUUGACUGGUUUUCAGGCACUUGUACUAUUAGUUAACUCUGAUGGAGCUGCGCCAAGUAUCGAGUGGCUGAGAUAAUGCUUAAUCCAUUCCUCAGGUGAACAGGAUUCAUGCAACCAAGUUUACAAGUAACACUUGACAAGGAAAUAUCAUCCUUAUCCAAGUCUGACCUUUGCAACAGAAACGUCAAUGAUCCAAUGUACCGAGUAGUCAGACAAAAAACUGAUGUCGAUACAUGUGGUUCAGAGAACCUUGUAUUCCUUUAGGUAAGGAAUUAUUCUUUCAGUUCUCGGGGAGUAUGAUGGCAAUUGUCUGGACUCGAGAAUGGUAAGCAACAUAGACAAGGGAGCUGAAAUUUGAAAAGAACUAUGAAAAAAGAUGUCUGUUAGUUUCAUAACAGCGAUAAGAGAGUGAUAUCAUCUGGUUCACAAGCUCUCAUGCUUCAAAUCAGAGGGGUUCUUUUCAACACACAAACCAAAACGACCAUUUAAACUAAGAAGAAAAUGCUUGCUUGACUCCCUUGUGACCUGAGCGAAAACAAGAUUCCCCAAUAAAAAUAAUGCAAAUUAGCCAUAUUUGAUUCAUAAAUCAUCAAGU